GAUGAACGCUGGCGGCGUGCCUAAUACAUGCAAGUCGAGCGAACAGACGAGGAGCUUGCUCCUCUGACGUUAGCGGCGGACGGGUGAGUAACACGUGGAUAACCUACCUAUAAGACUGGGAUAACUUCGGGAAACCGGAGCUAAUACCGGAUAAUAUAUUGAACCGCAUGGUUCAAUAGUGAAAGACGGUUUUGCUGUCACUUAUAGAUGGAUCCGCGCCGCAUUAGCUAGUUGGUAAGGUAACGGCUUACCAAGGCGACGAUGCGUAGCCGACCUGAGAGGGUGAUCGGCCACACUGGAACUGAGACACGGUCCAGACUCCUACGGGAGGCAGCAGUAGGGAAUCUUCCGCAAUGGGCGAAAGCUUGACGGAGCAACGCCGCGUGAGUGAUGAAGGUCUUCGGAUCGUAAAACUUUGUUAUUAGGGAAGAACAAAUGUGUAAGUAACUAUGCACGUCUUGACGGUACCUAAUCAGAAAGCCACGGCUAACUACGUG
rnacentral:rRNA from 1 species